GUGUCAGCAGCCGCGGUAAUACGGAGGGUGCAAGCGUUGUUCGGAAUUACUGGGCGUAAAGGGCGCGUAGGCGGCCGAUCAAGUCUGAUGUGAAAGCCCGGGGCUCAACCCCGGAAGUGCAUUGGAAACUGGUCGGCUUGAGUUCGGGAGAGGAGGGCAGAAUUCCCGGUGUAGGGGUGAAAUCCGUAGAUAUCGGGAGGAAAACCAGUGGCGAAGGCGGCCCUCUGGAACGUGACUGACGCUGAGGCGCGAAAGCGUGGGGAGCAAACAGGAUUAGAGACCCUGGUAGUCCACGCUGUAAACGAUGGAUGCUAGGUGUAGGAGUCAUCAGGACUUCUGUGCCGCAGCUAACGCGAUAAGCAUCCCGCCUGGGGAGUACGGUCGCAAGACUAAA
rnacentral:rRNA from 1 species